GUGAGUAAUACAUAGGUAACCUGCCCCUGUGCGGGGGAUAACAGGAGGAAACUCCUGCUAAUACCGCAUAGCCAUGAGCACCGCAUGGAGCUCAUGCCAAAUAUCCUUUCGGGGAUAGCGCAGGGAUGGACCUAUGGCGCAUUAGCUUGUUGGCGGGGCAACGGCCCACCAAGGCAACGAUGCGUAGCCGGCCUGAGAGGGCGGACGGCCACAUUGGGACUGAGACACGGCCCAGACUCCUACGGGAGGCAGCAGUAGGGAAUUUUCGGCAAUGGGGGAAACCCUGACCGAGCAACGCCGCGUGAGCGAAGAAGGCCUUCGGGUCGUAAAGCUCUGUUGUAAAGGAAGAACGGCGCAUACAGGAAAUGGUAUGCGAGUGACGGUACUUUACCAGAAAGCCACGGCUAACUACGUGCCAGCAGCCGCGGUAAUACGUAGGUGGCGAGCGUUAUCCGGAAUCAUUGGGCGUAAAGAGGGAGCAGGCGGCCGCAAGGGUCUGUGGUGAAAGACCGAAGCUAAACUUCGGUAAGCCAUGGAAACCGGGCGGCUAGAGUGCGGAAGAGGAUCGUGGAAUUCCAUGUGU
rnacentral:rRNA from 1 species